AGAACCUUCACAAAAACACAUGGAGCAACUGCGAAAAGAAAUGUCUGAGGAUAUACUAAAAACGUAUGUUCAACAAAGCCAACAACUGCUUCAUGUGUGCCACUGCUAAAGAAUCUGGAUGUGGCCCAAAGACUGACUAGGUUAGUCACUUUAUUUAACAGGUUUAUAAUCUUUUGACAACAAUGACGGCAUGUAAGACAAUUUAUGAUAUAACACAAUGGAUGGCUGGCUAAUUCGUCAUUCUGCAUUGAUAUUAUUUAUGUGUUACACUUUGUUUUGUUUUGAUUGAAGGUUUUGCAUGCCAACGGUGGUUCCAUGUGCUGUGCCGAGGAAUGAAGACAAAAGACUUCAACAGAGUAAAGAACACAAACUGGAAGUGCAGUCUUUGUUGUUGAAAAUGUAUACUAUACCCCAUCCACACUGAAGAGGCUCUGACAUGUACAUCAACCAGGGUUAAUGUAUG
ensembl:lncRNA